rnacentral:rRNA from 1 species
CCUACGGGUGGCUGCAGUGAGGAAUCUUGGUCAAUGGGCGUAAGCCUGAACCAGCCAAGUCGCGUGAGGGAUGAAGGUUCUAUGGAUCGUAAACCUCUUUUAUACGGGAAUAAAGUGCGGGACGUGUCCCGUUUUGUAUGUACCUUAUGAAUCAGGAUCGGCUAAUUCCGUGCCAGCAGCCGCGGUAAUACGGAGGAUCCGAGCGUUAUCCGGAUUUAUUGGGUUUAAAGGGUGCGUAGGCGGACUUUUAAGUCAGCGGUGAAAGUCCGGGGCUCAACCAUAGAAUUGCAGUUGAAACUGGGAGGCUUGAGUAUGUGUGAGGCAGGCGGAAUGCGUGGUGUAGCGGUGAAAUGCUUAGAUAUCACGAAGAACCCCGAUUGCGAAGGCAGCCUGCCGAGCCAUGACUGACGCUGAUGCACGAAAGCGUGGGGAUCAAACAGGAUUAGAUACCCCUGUAGUC